CCCUCUCCCUCCCUCUGCUCUUUCUGUGUAACUCUGACUUUCAAAUAAACAAAUCUUUAAAAAAAUCCUAACACUUUUGGAUGUGUGACUUUGGGCAGGUCACCUCCAUGCCUUGAGCCAUGUUUCUUUAUCUGUAAAAUAAUAAUAAAGGCAUUUGCUCCCAUGGAUUGCUGGGAUACGUGAUACAAGAAUGUAAAAUGCCAGACAUAGAGCCUGGCACAAAUUAGGAAAAUCCCGAAUGGCAGUGGCUGCUGCCACUGCCCAUUGGUUUUGGUUUUAAAAAGAUUUGUUUAUUUACUUUAAAGGAGAGUUACAGAGAGAGAGAGAGAGAGAGAGAGAGAGAGAGAGAGAGAGGUUUUCCAUUCGCUGGUUCACUUCCCAGUUGGCUGCAAUGGCCGGAGCUGAGCCAAUCCAAAGCCAGGAGCCAGAAGCUUCCCCUGGGUCCCCCACAUGGGAGCAGGGGCCCAAGGACUUGGGCCAUCUUCUACUGCUUUCCCAGGCCAUAGCAGAGAGCUGGAUCAGAAGUGGAGCAGCUGGGACUUGAACCAGCUCCCAUAUGGGAGGCCGGCACUGCAGGUGCCAGCUUGACCCACUACGCCACAGCGCUGGCCUCUGCUCAUUGUUAUUAGUACCAUUUCAUCUUAUAUUUUAGACUCAGGAAUACUGGUAGCUUGCUGAAGUGCUUCUCACUCCCAGUGACAAACUUUGGACAGUGACUUGGGAGGUAUUAAGAUCCAAAUAUUCUGACCACCCCAAGGCCCUCCGAGACCGACCAGAGGAAGCGGGUCCUCUGUGAGCUGGAGGUCUAAUCCCCCUCUGUUGAUUGGUUCUCAGUGAUCCAGGGGAAAGAAAGCACCAGAACACCCGGUAUUUGAUUUAAAAGUCUACACCUUGGGGAUGUGUUUUCGGGUUCUUGGAGACUGACUUAAUGGAAGAAGAGAGGUGAGAGUUCUUGCUGGUGCUGUGCCCCUGGGGAGGGCUUGACUCCCUCGGAGGCUUCUAGAAGCAGUCCUGCUUUUCUUGCCUGUGGCCCCUGUUACUGCAUACAAUAAAUAUUUGACAACAUUUUAAUUUCUCGCCACCUGGCUAGAAUUGCUUACGAAUAUCACACCCAUGAAUGUAAGCAAUUAAGUAUUUUAUAAGCACCGCUGAGAUGCCAAUAUCAGAAAACAGGAGUUGCAGGUGACAGAGGUGGGACGGUCACUCCGUGUUUUCCUCGGGGGCUUCGCUCUCUUCACCUUCUGCCAAGGACUCUGGAGGGGGCGUUUUCUCGGCGGGGGCCUCGCUGAGCUCCCUGUGGGAAGAGAGCAGAGCAAGGCUUCCACUCCUGCCACUCUCCCCGCCUCCCCAAACUCAGUACGGUGAAGUGGCCCUGUCACGUACCCUGCGUCCUUGUCAGGAAACUCUUCCUUUACAGAAGGCUCCUUGUCUGGGGGCAAGUCCUUGGCUUUCUUGCGUGUGCCACCGAAAGGGCUGAGCAGACGCCUCAGCCAGAGUGGCCACCUCAGCCGGAAGAAGCCCUAGGAAAGACAAAAAGACAUGUAAAUAGAGCAUUUUCCCUGCUGUCUCCAGCCACACACUGCAGCCUCCUCCCAUUUACCUGAGUCUCAUCUUCCAAACACUUUCUAGGCACUGAUUGGUGAAAGCUCGUUGGGGAAAAACACACACAAGACCAUUAGAGACGAGUGCCAUUGUUCACUUCUCACAGUGUGCAUCUCAGGUCUUCCUGGGACGACACAUGCACCUCAGCCAUCACUGCAGUGAGUGCUCACUACAAGCCUGGGGUCUCAGAUGCAGUACCCAGGGCGCUGGGCUUCCAGGAGCCCUCUGUCCCUACAGACCUGCAGUGUCUCUGGGGAGACUUUUGUCUGUUGUCAGUCCCAGUGCCUUUCUCAGCCAAGUGUGCUUGCGCAGUGGACACACUGCACCACCACACGGGGCAGAAGUAUUUUCUCUCUCCAGAGGCAUUUGACACCUGCCCCUUUAGGAUUUAGCCUCACAAGCAUCAUUCACUGGGGUGUAGGGAGAAAAUGCUUGUGUUUCCAUAGCUGCUUUAGUCCCCUAUAAAUUGAAUCCUAUGAAGCAAUGCCCGAGUCCAAUAGCAACGUUACCCAGCUCAAAGAUUUUUCUCACUGCAGGGUGUCUGUCACUGAUGGAAGAUUGAGUUGUGAAACCAGUUUAAAGGGCAAAACCAGCGUGGAAAUACAAGGUUCCGGAGCCCAGAUGGGAAAGGUGCUCAAGAGGAACCAUGCAGAUGUGGUUGUCCCCGUAUGGCCUAGAAGUUCUGAUCAUCAUUCAAAGGAGUGUUAAGGGCCCGGAGUCUGAGCAGAGCCCUCCUGCUGCACUGGAGAAGAGUCCCGCUCCAUGGUGGGCUCCGGAGUUAUGGUCAGCGCCACAUCUGCAGGCUUGAUGGUAACAUUGGGCAGGUUAUAACGGUGAACUUGAUUCUGAUCUGGA